rnacentral:rRNA from 1 species
GACGAACGCUGGCGGCGUGCUUAACACAUGCAAGUCGAACGGAAAGGCCCUGCUUUUGUGGGGUGCUCGAGUGGCGAACGGGUGAGUAACACGUGAGUAACCUGCCCUUGACUUUGGGAUAACUUCAGGAAACUGGGGCUAAUACCGGAUAGGAGCUCCUGCUGCAUGGUGGGGGUUGGAAAGUUUCGGCGGUUGGGGAUGGACUCGCGGCUUAUCAGCUUGUUGGUGGGGUAGUGGCUUACCAAGGCUUUGACGGGUAGCCGGCCUGAGAGGGUGACCGGCCACAUUGGGACUGAGAUACGGCCCAGACUCCUACGGGAGGCAGCGGUGGGGAAUAUUGCACAGUGGGCGGAAGCCUGAUGAGACAACGCCGCGUGCGGGAUGACGGCCUUCGGGUUAUGAACCGCUUUCGCCUGUGACGAAGCGUGAGUGACGGUAAUGGGUAAAGAAGCACCGGCUAACUACGUG